ensembl:lncRNA
CGUCACGAGACGUGUAGUCUUUCUCAUUGUGUUUUCUCUACAGCCUUUAACUGAACAAUUGCACAAUAAACGGUCAAACUCUUGACACGAAAAUUAUAAUUUAAAUCCACAAAAAAGAUAUCUGUAAUCCGGGGCAUAUAAAGACUGGGACCAGAAGAUAAUUACUUUCUCUCCAUUGAAACCAUGGGCUCUACCGGAAAGGGCUUGACCUCACCACUCAAUACCCAGGUGCAUACCUUCGAGCAACAAUUAUCUUGUCCAGAUCUAAAUAAAGCUACUGUAGGCCACAUCGGUUCUAGGAAUGAAAGUCUCCAGCGUCCGUGUCAUAUGCUCUCUGGGGCCUGUCGCUCAUGCAGUCUUCCGGCAGCUCAGGAACAUUCCCUGCACGGGCUCAUGUCGCCAUUCCAAGAAAUCUGCCACGCAAAACCCGUCACUAAUGGCAGUGAAUAACAGGACUCCUACAGCAGCCCCCCAGACAGACCAGUACCGGGACUGGGUGCAGAACAGUACCGGGACUUAGUGCAGACCAGUAUCGGGACUUGGUGCAGACCAGGACCAGGACUGGGUGCAGACCAGGUGGCAUUGCGGGCAGAUGUUGGUGUUCUCAGAGCCGCUUGGCGCCUCGUGGUAUGAACCAUGACCGGUCUGCGCAGUAAUGAAGGUCGAUCUCUAGGAUAUAGUUCACCCCAACGCUCUCUUACAGAAACCCAGUCUGAAAUCAGAACGAAAAAUACUACUGCUCGGUAGGUCAAGUGCCUACCGGGAGGAAAUGGCACGAAACAGACGUUGCAUUGGCCGGGAAUCGUACCCGGGCCUCCCGCGCGGGAGCCGAAAAUGGUUGAGCUUAACUUCCUUAACUUUCCCCAUUCAUUCUCAAUGGUAGUUCUUAACAGUACGGAUGUAAUAUAUUUCCGGUCACUGGUGGACAUUUGGCGCUGUCCCGAGUUUCCGUUAUUUAGGUUAGGUUAUUACAAUGGUCUUACCUGUCAACAACACUUAUCGCGGACCUUCAUAUAGCAUAGGCUUACACUUUUUAGCUUGAUGGUAAAACGCGACGCUGCUUCAAAACUGAAAUGGUACGUAGGAGAAUAGAUAGUAUUCUCGAUCGUCAAUACUAUAUAUAUAGAGAAUAUAUAGUAUUGACGAUCGAUUUGAUGUACAGUUAGUAGUCAUAUGCAACGUUAACGUUGUAUAUCAAUCUACUUUUGGUCUGAUAUUUGCUGUGUAUAGUGCUACCAAUGUAUGUCUUUUAAUGUUUGAGCCAAUUUAACUUACUGUCUAUUAUUAUCAGACAUCACAUCAAUCAAUGACAUGGUGUCAUUAAUUAUUAGUAUUAUCAUCUGUUUUGUUAUGUUUAAUUAUUUUUUCUUCUCUCCUACUAUUUUUCUCCAUCUUUCUAGCAGCCUUUACACCCCUUAAAUUGUGUGCAGCUCCUGCAACUCACAGACACAAAGUAGUGUUUAUUUCAGCCAGCAUGAAGGUAAAGGUUAUUUUCCCGGGAAAGGUCAAGGUUUCUUUCCGGAGAGGGCCGACUGGGUAUUUGAGGCAAGACCCAUCAGUCGAGGCUAAGAGGAUUAAAGACCACCCUGACCUCCAGGACAAGUCAGCGGCCCAGAAUGAAGACCGGGUGAAAGACAAUGCCAGGUUUGUCGUAUUCAUGAGAGGGGGGGGAUAUAUCAGACAAGCAGGAGGUGCUUGGGGAGUAUGUCCUGCAGUUUGGGAAAUACAAGGGAAAGUUAUUCCGGUGGCUUGCAGAGAAUGAUGUAGGGUAGGUAACAUACCUCAUCAAGAAGGUCAGGGAGGAGGAGAGAGCAGGCCAGUUUAAGCCAGAUGGUCCCAAGAAGGACAGCUUUUUGUCACUCCUGCAGUACAGCUACAGCUUCCAGGAGAUCAAGGACCUGCUGCUGUAUCUGGACAGUCCGGUAGAAACACCACCAGCUAAGGAUGACGAAGACAACCUAGUUGGUUUUGGGGUUCACACGAAGAGGACGUGGAGGGAUGUUUGGGAGCGGAGAGACGAUGGAUUUUCUGCGUUCAUCCUGCGACAGCAGUGUACGCCAGGCAGCAAAAUGUUUAGGCUCCAGGACUACCUGAAGAGGCAGAGUGCUUCUGAGGGACGUGCAUCCUCAGGGCAUGCAACAUCGGCCUCUCAUUGCCCAGCUUUCACAGAAAUGGAGGAUGAUGAUGAGUUGGAGAGGAUGAUGCUCUCUAUAUCCCCAUCCAAACUCCAAGCGGAGGAUGGAGUUGAGGAAUGGGAGAGAAUGAUGCCAGCCACACCUAUUCCAGGCCAUCUUGGUUCCCAAGUUGUCGGAGUCCCUGUGGUCAAAGCACCCUCUGCCCUGUCUAGAGUACCUGCUCUGUCUACGGCAUCCAGGUCCUCUUCCGCCCUUCCUGCAGCACCUGCUCUGUCGGCGGCGUCGAGGUCGUCUACAGCACCCUCAACAUCAUAUCCACCUCCUGCAGCACCCUCGCCACCUUGUUCACCUGAUCCACCACUCCCAAGGUACGACCAGGAUGUGAUUCGUUGGAACUGCUCUCACCAUCAGAGAAUCUGGAUGAAGAUUGAGAUGGAGCCCUUGGGGCUUUGGCCAGGUCCUCGAACGGUGAGACAUCCAAUGAAUAUAAUCUCCUUGUGGCAUUACCCACCUCAGCCUGAGCUUAUUGACAGUGUUUACGAACUACCGUCGCCCAACUAUUUCCAGCUCCAUCCAUUUUUUAUAUGGAAGCCAGAGCACACCAUCAUGGAGCGAGUGAAGAACAACUACACUCUGCCCUGUCUCUAUAGCUGUGGAAGUCCUUUCGUAGUGUCAUCAGGAGUUGGGCGACCCCGUGUCAUUAUCGGCUUGGGUGGCCAGUAUUACAUCCUGGCGUCACGGCUCUGUUGCAAAGGAUGCAACAAGUUCUGGCACGCAGACAAGCCUCAAUGGUUGGACAUGUUGCCGAGCCGAUUCACCAAGAUCUUACCAGCUUUCCUUACCUUCAAAAAGGCAAUUUGUAAGACUGUGAUGGAUGAGCUGCGGCACUCUGGAAAGUCUCCCAAUGACAUGGCCAACCAGUUGAAUGAGGCUCUCCACCUCAAGUAUGAGCGGGCACACUUGGCAUACCUGGAAAGUGUGAAGAACGUGCUGGAUGGAGAGAGUGGACUGUAUGGACAGUGAACCAUCACAGGGGCAAUGAGAGCAACAUCAACUCCUGCUCCAUUUGGUGGGUAUGUGGAUGGGUGGCACGGAGUGAUGUUAUCGGGGCAUUACCUGGUCGAGUGCCUAAUUCAGGAGUUCCCCAGACAGGAAGACACCCUUGUUCUCCUCCAAGGCACAUUUGGUCAGGCCUUGAGAGCUGACCACACCAGGAAGGUGGCUCGGAAAGUGGUUCUUGCCUCAAGCACCAUGUCAUCAUAUGCUGUGAUGAAUGAAAAUUGGAUGAUCCUGUCCUGGGUUAUGCUUCAGACAGAGGGGGACAGAUCCUUGGAACCCAUGUACGAGGGGCUGUCUUGCCGUCGCAACUACGCAGACAUCCCCAAAGCCCAAUACCAGUGGGUUGACAGGGACUGCUGUGCAGCCUUCAGGGUUUGAUUUAGUGGCUGAGGCUACUUCAGGGCCCCUCAACAACACCUGUGUAUCCCGCAGCAAGUUCAACAGCGACAUUGACAUCAAGCUGGACCUGUUUCAUUGCAUGCGCCGCCUCUCCAGAGUGUGUGUCAGAGCACCAUCCACUGCACAGCUCUUUCUGCAAGUUCCUUUCUGCAGCUUUCACUAUCGUGGACCAGACAGACCUGGAGAAACUUAAACAGGCAUACGUCUUCUGCGGUGUUGUGCCUGCUAAUCCCACCAAACAGCACACCAAAGAGCACUGUCGCACCAGGGUACCUGGUCCCUGAGAGCUGCUGGAGAGAGUCGAGCGCGUUCUGCAGCGAUUCCAUUUGGAGAAUGAUCCCGAUGGUAUGCCACUGUUUAAGCCGUCAAUGUUGACGGUGUGGAGGAUUCAGCGUUUUCACAUCCUCAGAGGCUGCUUGAGCGACCCAGAGGUUGCAGAGGGAAUCCUUUACAGAUAUGGCGGAACAGUGCAGCUCAACCAUGUCAAGGGAGACGGAGCUACUGUGCCCCUGUGGAUCCCUGUGAGAGGUACAUCACAGCAGCAGGGGUUCCAUUUCCAUCAGGCAAAAUGGGUGACGGGUAACAAGGUCUCCACAGAACUCUUCCAAGCUUAGGGCAUGAUUGGUGUGGCUCAGUGGAAUUUCAAGCGCUUUGUGGACCUGAAGUUGCCUGAUGUGAUGCUGCCUGCAGUCUUUGAUCCAGUACUGAUGAUGGAGCUGAAUAAGCUCUCUGAAGUGCUGACAGGUCAUGCCAAGUACCCUGCCUUGCGUGUUUCACACACUGACACAGGAGAAAGGUUUGGACUCCAGUAUCUAGAACCUGGCUGUCGUCCUGUCCCGCUGGACUGCAGCAAGCACAAGACCCAGAAGGUUCCUGUUGCAGGAGAGAGAGAGCACCACUCCUCAGAACCGUCUCUUCUCAGUGAGACAUUCACUGAAGACCCAUCUGAGGAGACGAGGGAGGAAGACUGUGCUCUGGAUGACCUCUUUGGUGUGGCUUCCCUUGGCUCACAUGCAGUGGCCCAACCCUCACAGCCAUUCAAAGUUCUAGUUCUCCCAGUCCCAGUGAUGCCACCGAUGCCCAUGUCUGCCUCUCCACGUGCUGCACGCACAGGUCCAGUCAAGGCAGGCGGCCUACUUUUUGUCCUGGACCAUUCCCGGUGGACACAGCCAAUGAGGGAUGCCAUCGACGGCCUUCUGGCAAAGCACCAUGACCAGAAAGACCUCCUCGCCAAGGUGGAUGCAGAGUAUGCUACCCUUGUGCUUGCUGCCUCCAGAGAUUCGAACAACUUGUUACAUCCGACCACCAAACAGCACAUCUCACGGUAUGUGAAACACCAGGCCAAGCUGAUGAACACAAGUUUGUGUCUGAACACCGGUCCAGAGAAACUCCUUGAGACACAAGAGCUGUGGCAUCAUCUCACAGAGGGUAGUGAAACUGUUUGUGUCCCGGUGGUAACCCUCCCACCUGCACCUGUGAAUCUGCCCAGCAGUAAGUCGCAAGAGCCCUCUCUCACAAAGGCUGAAAUGGAAAACCUGGUCAAAGAGCUUGUGCAAAAGCAGGAAAAGCAGCAGCAGCAGCAGCAACAACAGCAGCCUGUGCCAAAAAAAAGUAGGAACUGUCUUGCAUGUGGCCCGCCUAAUUCCCGUUACCUUGGUGAUGGCUGCUCCAUUCACUUCUUUUACCUGGCAGGAAAGGUAAAGUACUUUAACUGCUCUACAAAGAUGCAUCGGACCUAUGUAGCAGAAGGCCUUAAUGAUCCCCUGCAUGGAAUUUCUUGACUUUGCUGCCUUUUUUCAAGAGAGAGCUGGAGGCAGCAAAGCAGCGGUCUGCUGAGUCCAGGCAGGUAAAAGAAGAGCGGGGAAAGAGAAAGGCCAUGGAGCAGCUUCCCACUGGUCACCUGUGUAGGUUCUGCCACAAACCUAUAAAACAAGGCCCAGGCGGUCGGCAUACACACACUGGGUUCCCUGGUGUGACCGGGAAAUACGUGUACUGUCCUUCAAAAGUUUUUCACCUGUAUCAGUCAGAGGGGAUGACUUCGGAGAUGUCUUGGGAGGAGUUCUGUCAGUCUCCCUUUUAUGAGACUGAAAAGAAGAGGUGGGUGGCAGAAAAGGGAAGGUGAUUGGUCCGUUUGGAACACUUAUAGUUAUUCAAUUUGGUUCAUCUUUUAUUUUUUUUAUUUUGUUAUGGGUAUUUUCUGAUCAGAUGCUGGAAAUGCACUACUUUAAAGGUCUACCUUAAUUUACUAAGUUAAUUUCUAUGUCAUUUUUGUUAUUCAUUCAGUUCAUUUUAUCUUAGCUAUUUAAAUUACGCUGUUUAGUGUGUGUGUGCUUAUUUUGAAAUAAAACCAGUUUAAUACAACC